rnacentral:rRNA from 1 species
AUGCAAGUCGAACGCAGUAGCAAUACUGAGUGGCAAACGGGUGAGUAUAAUGUGGGAAUCUGCCUUUUGGUUCGGAAUAACACGGGGAAACUUGUGCUAAUACCGGAUAAGCCCUUACGGGGAAAGUUUUAAUGCCAAAAGAUGAGCCCGCACUUGAUUAGCUAGUUGGUAAGGUAAAAGCUUACCAAGGCAACGAUCAAUAGCUGUUCUUAGAGGAAGACCAGCCACAUUGGGACUGAGACACGGCCCAGACUCCUACGGGAGGCAGCAGUGGGGAAUCUUGCACAAUGGGGGAAACCCUGAUGCAGCGAUGCCGCGUGAGUGAAGAAGGCCUUUGGGUUGUAAAACUCUUUCGUCGGGGAAGAAAAUGACUGCACCCGAAUAAGAAGGUCCGGCUAACUUCGUGCCAGCAGCCGCGGUAAUACGAAGGGACCUAGCGUAGUUCGGAAUUACUGGGCUUAAAGAGCUCGUAGGUGGUUAAAAAAGUUGAUGGUGAAAUCCCAAGGCUUAACCUUGGAACUGCCAUCAAAACUUUUUAGCUAGAGUGUGAUAGAGGUAAGUGGAAUUUCUAGUGUAGAGGUGAAAUUCGUAGAUAUUAGAAAGAACACCAAAUGCGAAGGCAACUUACUGGGUCACUACUGACACUGAGGAGCGAAAGCAUGGGUAGCGAAGAGGAUUAGAUACCCUCGUAGUCCAUGCCGUAAACGAUGUGUGCUAGACGUUGGAAGUAUAUUUUUCAGUGUCGCAGCGAAAGCAUUAAGCACACCGCCUGGGGAGUA